UACGGGGGGGGCAAGCGUUGUUCGGAAUUACUGGGCGUAAAGGGUUUGUAGGUGGCUUGUUAAGUCAGACGUGAAAUCCCUCAGCUUAACCUGGGAACUGCGUCUGAUACUGGAUGGCUUGAAUUCGGGAGAGGGAUGCAGAAUUCCAGGUGUAGCGGUGAAAUGCGUAGAUAUCUGGAGGAAUACCGGUGGCGAAGGCGGCAUCCUGGACCGAGAUUGACACUGAUGAGCGAAAGCCAGGGGAGCAAACGGG
rnacentral:rRNA from 1 species